rnacentral:rRNA from 1 species
AGCUCCAAUAGCGUAUAUUAAAGUUGUUGCAGUUAAAAAGCUCGUAGUUGGAUUUCUGAUUGAGACAUCAUGUUGGGUCCGAGAGGAUCAUGUACGUUGAUUUGUUUUGAUCAUCCUUGGGGAGAGCAAUUCUGGCAUUAAGUUGUCGGGGUUGGGAUCCUCAUCGUUUACUGUGAAAAAAUUAGAGUGUUCAAAGCAGGCCUCGGCCUCUGAAUACAUUAGCAUGGAAUAAUAAGAUAGGACUUUGGUGGUCUAUUUUGUUGGUUUGCACGCCAAAGUAAUGAUUAAUAGGGAUAGUUGGGGGUAUUCGUAUUCAAUUGUCAGAGGUGAAAUUCUUGGAUUUAUGGAAGACGAACUACUGCGAAAGCAUUUACCAAGGAUGUUUUCAUUAAUCAAGAAC